GGGGACGAUCGGUUUCGACGAGAAGCUCUUUUAAAAACUGCAAGCCAUGUUUGACGACACAUGCCUAUCCUGCGAAACUUUAUGUGGAGUAGGAUAAAAAGAGUCAAAUUUUACAAACGCCAAAUUAUUUGAGCGUCCAGCUUACGAUUACAAUCUUGCAAUCGCCUAAGCAGGUGUCCUUUCAAAUGUUUCUUAACCGUUUGAUCUGGGCAUAAACCAGUUGAGAUGUAGCUUAAAGCUAUCGACUUUUGGCUUUUAGCUGAAAAUUUAAAGUCUUACUUUUAAGCAUCCUGCGUAUGGGUAAGUUUAGAAGGAAAUUUUAAUCUACGCUAAGCUUGUAGUAGUUUUUAAAUAAUGUUUUUUCGGACGAGGGUUCAAUUCCCUCCGUCUCCACAC
rnacentral:tmRNA from 4 species